CCCCCUCUUGUAGAAGUUCAUAACAAAAAGGAAAGCAAAUUAUUUUCAUAAGCGUCCUAUACGAAUUAAAUUUAUUUAUUUCACAGUGCGAGUAAUAAGUUGAAGCUCGAGUUGAAGAGUAAAAUAUACGUUAAAAUACAAAUACUGGAACCAAAAAUAUCUUAGGGAGUGUUUAUUAUUUAUAUUUGAGGUUGGCACCGAAGAGAAACUAAUCUAAAAGAGAAAAAAACCUGCCUUCCAACCUUUUGCCCGACCAUUUUUUCCAUACCCAACCAUCGCAUGGUUUCGAUUAUCAAUUUACUCAACCCAAUUUCUAACUCAUAUUGUACAUGAUCUGUAGAUGUAUGGUGCAGUAAAUA